GACAUACUGGAGGAAAUUUGAUGAGAAGUAUCAUUUUUCUUGUCAGUUUACUUCUGAUAUAAUCGCUAUGAACACUGUUGAUUUCAUAAUCAAUGCACUUGAUGUUUCACGAUCUGUACUGCAGAUUUUCAGAACACUAAGGGCAUAUCUUGGCUUGGAAUGCUGAUGGUUGGGCGAACGCCAUGGAUCAUGGCAAGUGCGAUUUUCAGAACACUAAGGGCAUAUCUUGGCUUGGAAUGCUCAUGGUUCGACGAACGUCAUGGAUCAUGGCAAGUGCUCCUCUCCACUUCCCCUCCCUGCUAAAAAUCAGUUCCAAUUGUUGUACAAGUUUCCCGAUAUGGCUUUCUGAAUUUUAAUUUGUCGCUUGUUCUGUCGUACUCGGUGGUUAUUGUUUGGCCUACAUAUAGAGGUAAAUGUUUUGUAUGAGAUUAUUUAUCCGGACCUCACCGAUGAUUACUUGAACUCAGGUUGGACAACAUAUGAAAUGUUAAAUUUAGCAAGAUAUUGCGAUUCGAUUUCUCUUUCAAUGUCAUCAUCCUGCAAUGGAUGUGUAUGUCUAUUUUGUCAUCUAGUUGCGAUGCAUGGGCACUUUCAUUUGAUUAUACAGUUCUACUGCGGGAAGGGAAAUAUGGACUCUGGAUGUCCAUUUCUGAGGUGUCAAUCUGGUGCUCGGCUAUAUAGUACAGGGAAGAGUUCUUCUAGAUCCUAAUACAGGUAAUCUGAUUCAUAGCUUAGGUGCAUUUUUCUUUAUUCAUAGUUAGCUAAUAGCAAUAACAUCUGCACUUUCCCUACAACCUAUAUUGAAGGUAAAGUAAUGAUUUCACAUAUGCACUUUCCCUACAACCUAUAUCGAAGGUACUAACUGCAAUAUUUUCCAUAUGAACCUGAUAAAGAUAGUACUAAUACCUUGAAUUUCUACAAAGAAUAGGUGACACCAAGUUGCCAACCAUUUUUGGACCUGUCAUCUUUUUCCCCACUAGGGCGCUUCCUUCAAAUUUAUCAUGGGUGCCCUCAAGUUGACACGCUUGUUCUUAUUGUUGCUUAUGUAUGAAUUUCCUGAGAGCUGCUUACGUAUUUUUUAUUCAUGAAUUACAUGACCAAUGAGUCAGGUGUGAAGAUGUUUUAUAAAUCAAGACAACCAACAUGCUGAAAUUUUGGAGCAAUUGCUGAAGGAAAGUACCACUUACUCUUGUUUCUAGUAGAUUUCAUCAUUUUAUUCUUAGAGUCAGCUACAUAGUUAAUAUUGCAAAACUUAUAGUUCAUGGUGAAGGAAAGUACCUAUUGCAAGU
rnacentral:lncRNA from 1 species